GCAGACGCAUGCUGUGGUCUGCCAAUACCAGGUCCGCGUCCCCUUGAUGUCGCGAAUCACACCAGCAGAAGCCCCAAUUUGCGGAUCUAUUCCACCCGACGUUGAUGAGCUGGUUAUGCCCGAGAAUUCCUCCGUUCCAAAUCCAGUCCUUUCCAUCUUCCCAUAAGAAUUGCCCUGCCUCCUCCAUGCAAGCUCAAUGCCAUCACAAUAGACAAUACCAUGCCGCCCCCACGUGAGCUCAGCGCCGCCGCAUUCCUGUAUCGCGCCCACGCCUGUCAGAGGCCGCCGUGAUGCGAGAUCCGCGCUCCCACAAUCACGCGUGCCCCGUGCCCUACGUCCCCAGGCUAACUCCUAUAAUGGAUCCCGGGGGGUCCUAUCCUCUGGCGCCAAAGGGGACGGCGGCCUGAAGAACGACAAGUCUCAGAGGAGGAUGAGCGGCGGGUGUAGUUGGUGCUCAACCGGGAGAGCGCGCACCUAUGACUUCAGAGGAAGAAGCAGCGCUCACCGCCACCCUUCACUGCGUCCACCGCCUUCCCCUAGUGGCGCGAGGCGCCUCACCGGCCGGAUCCGCUCGAUUUGGACACACCGCUACCACAUCCCUCGAGUUGCAGAUGCGCCAGCCUUAACACCAUCUCCUUCCACAUGCUGGCGUGCUACUCGCGUGGACGCUCGUCACGAUCUGGAUGUCGCGCCGCCUCAGCAGCCUGACGCCACCCAUGAAUCAGCAACUGGGUAGUGGACCAAUUGAACUGAUUUGAGAGGAUUGUGCUUUGAUUUUCCGACCUCUUGCAGCUUGACGACGAGGAAGAGAUGGAUCUGCCUCUGUUGCUGGGAGAUGGACAAUGACUUUUGGUGCUAUUUCCUAAAUAAGAUAUACACAUGUCUUCACACCGCCAUCUCUGUUGCGCCCAUAACGCAAGCUCCGGUGGCGCCGCGAUGUUGGUCCGCGAAGAGGACACAAACACUAUAGCUCUGAACUCCAUGGCAGACAUUGCUCUCAUUCUGUUGCUAUUGUUGUGGAGCGCCGAGGGCGCAUGUCCCAUGGCCGCUGGUUCUCCCAGUCAAGGGACGCAAAAUCUGCCACUGUCGUUUCUCUCUGUGCGCUGGUAUGUUUUGUGUGUGAUUUGGAGUUUGGCAACUAGCAUGAUGCGAGAAAAAACAUCAGUGGAUACCUCCCAUCAAUUGUUGAAAGUUGGUUUGUUACUUUAGACUGACGACUGAAUCCACAGGUAAUGUUUGCAGUAAUAAAAUAACAACCUUCAUUGCAGGACAAGUUCUACCUGAAUCUCAUGGUUUGUCUUCACACAAUGUUCUCUUAGUUGGUUUGCAGCAUGCAGCAAGUAGUUCUAGUUGCUGCUUUUAGAGAAGCUCCAGUUGUAGGUCAUAAAUUGCUUGGAAAAAUGCAACAUCGAUGCUAUCAUCCUGACGAGACUAUGACCGGUGAUGCAGAUUAUUUUGUAUGCUGAUGGUGCCAUGGCGGCUGCAUGCCGGAGGGCUGCAUACUCGACGUCUACAUCGCCGUCUUCAACAAGGAUAAGAUCUCCCUCGCUAGUCACGACGAGGUCCGCGCCAGCACUCCCAUUCCCAUUCUUUCUCCCUCCCUAGGAAUUGGGGUUUCUAUUGCUUUUUUUUGUUUGGUGUGUACCUCUGCAGUAUAUGGUGGCGGGCGAGCGGAACUUCUUUCCACUGCUCCUGGAGGCGUCAAGCCCUCUCUAGUGAUCGGAUGGGAGUGCCAGGUUCAGUCCCAUCUUGGCUUUAGAUUGAGAAGAUUGUGACUUUGAAACCUUUUAGAUGUACAGAAAGAAACCAGAUUGUGUUUGUACAUAAUGAUGGUGAGAAGAUCAAAUAUAUGGUAUGGGAAGUGGUUUCA